UGGGGAAUAUUGGACAAUGGGCGCAAGCCUGAUCCAGCCAUGCCGCGUGAGUGAUGAAGGCCCUAGGGUUGUAAAGCUCUUUCAGCGAGGAGGAUAAUGACGUUACUCGCAGAAGAAGCCCCGGCUAACUUCGUGCCAGCAGCCGCGGUAAUACGAAGGGGGCUAGCGUUGUUCGGAAUCACUGGGCGUAAAGCGCACGUAGGCGGACUUUUAAGUCAGGGGUGAAAUCCCGGGGCUCAACCUCGGAACUGCCUUUGAUACUGGAAGUCUGGAGUCCGAGAGAGGUGAGUGGAACUCCGAGUGUAGAGGUGAAAUUCGUAGAUAUUCGGAAGAACACCAGUGGCGAAGGCGGCUCACUGGCUCGGUACUGACGCUGAGGUGCGAAAGCGUGGGGGAGCAAAACAGGAUUAGAUACCCUGGCAGUCCACGCCGUAAACGAUGGAAGCUAGCCGUCAGGGUGCAUGCAUCUUGGUGGCGCAGUUAACGCAUUAAGCUUCCCGCCUGGGGAGUACGGUCGCAAGAUUAAAAACUUAAAUGAAUUGAC
rnacentral:rRNA from 1 species